rnacentral:rRNA from 1 species
AACGCGAAGAACCUUACCAGCACUUGACAUCCAACUAACGAAAUAGAGAUAUAUAAGGUGCCCUUCGGGGAAAGUUGAGACAGGUGGUGCAUGGUUGUCGUCAGCUCGUGUCGUGAGAUGUUGGGUUAAGUCCCGCAACGAGCGCAACCCCUGCCAUUAGUUGCUACGCAAGAGCACUCUAAUGGGACCGCUACCGACAAGGUGGAGGAAGGUGGGGAUGACGUCAAAUCAUCAUGCCCCUUAUGUGCAGGGCUACACACGUAAUACAAUGGUCGUAACCAAAGAGAAGCAAAACCGCGAGGUGGAGCAAAACUCAAAAAGCGAUCUCAGUUCGGACUGUAGGCUGCAACUCGCCUACACGAAGUUGGAAUUGCUAGUAAUCGUGGAUCAGCAUGCCACGGUGAAUACGUUCCCGGGUCUUGUACACACGC